UUAUAUUUUUCAUGAUGGAAAUUAGAUAUUGUUGAUUUUGUGAAAUUUUUUUAAUUUAAUUUAAAAAUAGUAGAUCCAUGGAUCUGGACCCGUGGACCCGCGGAUCUGACGGAUCUGGAUCCAAAAUUUUCAGAUCCACGGAUCUGGAUCUGGAUCUAGUAUAUGAAAACGGAUCUGGAUCUGGUAUUGGUCAGACCCGGUCCAGAUCCGGCCCGUUGCCAUCCC
rnacentral:lncRNA from 1 species